AAAUCUAUUUCAGAAAAUUCUUCUCGAGACAUGAUUAUAUACUCACCACAAAAUCCUCACCAAUUCUCUCGAAAAGGAAAUAAUGAUUUUCACUCGCACUCGUGUUUACACUCAAUUUUUGCCUUUUUCUUUUGAUGUAAUUCACUCGUGCCUUUUUCCACUCAAUUUUUGCCUUUCGAAGUUCUCCGCAAACUAGGUCGACGAAUCAAUACCGUUUGGCGUCGGCUUACAAAAUUGAUUUGGCUUGGUGGGUAAUGAUGUCGAAAAUGGUAGGCUAUCAAACAAAAUAGAAAUGGUUAAGUGUGGCUAUAUAGAUAUGGUCCUUCGGGCAACAAGCAAUGCUUUUACAAUCCAACUAUGAACUUU
rnacentral:lncRNA from 1 species